rnacentral:tRNA from 1 species
GGGGCUGUAGCUCAGUGGCAGAGCACCUGUCUAGCACAUAAGAGGCACUGGGUUCAAUUCUUAGCACUUCA